rnacentral:rRNA from 1 species
UAGGGAAUCUUCCACAAUGGACGCAAGUCUGAUGGAGCAACGCCGCGUGAGUGAAGAAGGUUUUCGGAUCGUAAAGCUCUGUUGUUGGUGAAGAAGGAUAGAGGUAGUAACUGGCCUUUAUUUGACGGUAAUCAACCAGAAAGUCACGGCUAACUACGUGCCAGCAGCCGCGGUAAUACGUAGGUGGCAAGCGUUGUCCGGAUUUAUUGGGCGUAAAGCGAGCGCAGGCGGAAGAAUAAGUCUGAUGUGAAAGCCCUCGGCUUAACCGAGGAACUGCAUCGGAAACUGUUUUUCUUGAGUGCAGAAGAGGAGAGUGGAAUUCCAUGUGUAGCGGUGGAAUGCGUAGGUAUAUGGAAGAACACCAGUGGCGAAGGCGACUCUCUGGUCUGCAACUGACGCUGAGGCUCGAAAGCAUGGGUAGCGAACAGG